rnacentral:rRNA from 1 species
UACGUAGGGGGCUAGCGUUGUCCGGAAUCAUUGGGCGUAAAGAGCGUGUAGGCGGCUCGGUAAGUCCGCUGUGAAAGUCCAGGGCUCAACCCUGGAAUGCCAGUGGAAACUGUCGAGCUAGAGUCCGGAAGAGGCGAGUGGAAUUCCUGGUGUAGCGGUGAAAUGCGCAGAUAUCAGGAGGAACACCAAUGGCGAAGGCAGCUCGCUGGGACGGUACUGACGCUGAGACGCGAAAGCGCGGGGAGCGAACAGG